UUUCACUUCGCCUGUUUCUCCACUCUUCCUUUGAUUUUAUUUCUUCAAAUCACAAUGGUGCCUCCUUGGACUAAUCCAUCACUUUGCCUUCUGUUGCUAUGGAAAGAAUAAGCUAAAAAGAGUUUUGUGGAUUGUGCUUGUUGUCUUUUUACUAUUGGAUCUUGUCUAAAGGAGAAAACCCUCUUCACUUUGCAAGUCAUAUCACUUAUUUUUCUCCUUAUCCUUUUCAUAUAGUGUCCUCUAUCUAUCUUUCAACAUGUGGUCAUGUGAAAAAGUGCAUGGGAAGCUUUGCUCUGCCGCCCUUUACUAGUGUUGAUGGAUUCCUCUAGGUUUAAUAGUUCAAUUCUAGACUCCAUAUCUCCAAU